AGAGGAAGGAAAGCUUGCUUUUCUGAAUCUAGUGGCGAACGGGUGAGUAACACGUAGGUAACCUGCCCAUGUGCCCGGGAUAACUUCUAGAAACGGAUGCUAAAACCGCAUAAGCACACGGUAUCGCAUGAUACAGUGUGAAAAACUCCGGUGGUAUGAGAUGGACCCGCGUCUGAUUAGCUAGUUGGUGAGGUAACGGCCCACCAAGGCAACGAUCAGUAGCCGGCCUGAGAGGGUGAACGGCCACAUUGGGACUGAGACACGGCCCAAACUCC
rnacentral:rRNA from 1 species